rnacentral:lncRNA from 1 species
AACAUAUUCUUUUAUGAGAAACAUGCUUUAUCAUCCAUCUGAAGAGAAAUUAAAGAGUAAAAUUCAAUACUCUGAAAAUUAAAGGACAGAGAACAAUCCUCCAUACAAAUAAUUUCAUCGUCUCUACAGCAACCUAGAGUUGCAAGACCGAGGGUUUUUUGGAAGUAUCACACCUUGUAAAGAAGCACUCGAGAAGCUGGAAAGAGGUUGACAUUGAAAGAAUUUAUCAUCUGCAGACUGCAGCCAUUACUUCUUAGGGAGUCAUGUUUGUCUUCCCUGUUGGUCAUUCUCUGAGCUUGAAGAUAGUCUCUGUUUCGAGGACAAUCUUGAAAAACCAGCUUCAAGCCACCAUGGAUGAUGCAUAUCGAAUGGCUAAAAGCUCCCCUAGGAAGGCUUAACAACUUAGUGGUGGGGUGGGUAGAUUUGAUGCUGAUUAAUUUACUGUUUGAAUUUGAGCUGGGACUUCUUCUACCAAGUUCCUUGUCUUGGGCUCCUUUUAGCUUUGGUCC